AAAGUUUAUACCUGCUUGUGGGGACAUGAGUGAAGAAAGAGAGGGGACUUUGAAACAGGAGAAGAGAGCAAACUCAAAAGGUUUUUCAUGGCAGCAUGUGACAAGGUGAUGCUGAAAAAUUUAUAUGGAAAUUCAAAGGAUCAAGAAUAGCUGAAACAUCAUUGAAGAAGAACAAGGUGGGCUGAACUCACUCUACUAGAUAUCAAGAUUUAUGAGCAACUACAGUAUUUAAGACAGUGUAGUAUCGGCACUGGGAGAGACAUAAAAAACAAAAAGGAAAAAGAGCCCAGAGACUGACUUUUGUGUAUGCGGACAGUUUGUUUAGGAUGAAAGUACCACUGCUAUGCACUGUGGGAAAAUGUCCUCAAAGAAUGACACUAGGGCAAUUGGGUAUCCCCAUGUAAAAACAAUUAACCCCAACCUCACAUCACACACAAAACUUAACUCCAUUUGGGGUAUAUACUUAAAUGGAAGGUAAAACUAU
rnacentral:lncRNA from 1 species